rnacentral:rRNA from 1 species
AGUGAACGCUGGCGGUAUGCCUAACACAUGCAAGUCGAACGGCAGCGCAGUAAGAUCUCUCUCUUACGGGUGGCGAGUGGCGGACGGGUGAGGAAUACAUCGGAAUCUUCUUUUUCGUGGGUGAUAACGUAGGGAAACUUACGCUAAUACCUCAUACGUCCUACGGGUGAAAGCAGUGGAUCUUCGGAGCUUGCGCGACUGAAUGAGCCGGUGUCGCAUUAGCUAGUUGGCGGGGUAAAGGCCCACCAAGGCGACGAUCCGUAGCGGGUCUGAGAGGAUGAUCAGCCACACUGGAACUGAGACACGGUCCAGACUCCUACGGGAGGCAGCAGUAGGGAAUAUUGGGCAAUGGGCGCAAGCCUGAUCCAGCCAUGCCGCGUGAGUGAAGAAGGCCUUCGGGUUGUAAAGCUCUGUUGUUGGGAAAGAAAAGCAGCAGGAGAAUCCCCCGAUGUCCUGACGGUACCCAAAGAAUAAGCACCGGCUAACUUCGUG